rnacentral:rRNA from 1 species
CCUACGGGGGGCAGCAGUGAGGAAUAUUGGUCAAUGGCCGAGAGGCUGAACCAGCCAAGUCGCGUGAGGGAAGACGGCCCUACGGGUUGUAAACCUCUUUUGUCGGGGAGCAAAGAGAGUCACGUGUGACUCAUUGAGAGUACCCGAAGAAAAAGCAUCGGCUAACUCCGUGCCAGCAGCCGCGGUAAUCCGGAGGAUGCGAGCGUUAUCCGGAUUUAUUGGGUUUAAAGGGUGCGCAGGCGGAGGUGCAAGUCAGCGGUCAAAUUGCGGGGCUCAACCCCGUACUGCCGUUGAAACUGCAUGCCUUGAGUGCGCGAGAGGUAUGCGGAAUGCGUGGUGUAGCGGUGAAAUGCAUAGAUAUCACGCAGAACUCCGAUUGCGAAGGCAGCAUACCGGCGCGCAACUGACGCUCAUGCACGAAAGCGUGGUUAUCGAACAGGAUUAGAUACCCCGGUAGUC